GACGAACGCUGGCGGCGCGCUUAACACAUGCAAGUCGAGCGAUGAAAUUUCGACAGAUCCCUUCGGGGUGAAGAUGAAAUGGAUUAGCGGCGGACGGGUGAGUAACACGUGAGUAACCUGCCUUUGACAUUGGGAUAGCCUCGGGAAACUGGGAUUAAUACCAAAUGACACUAACUGAUCACAUGAUCAAUUAGUCAAAGAAAUUCGGUCAAAGAUGGACUCGCGGCUGAUUAGCUAGUUGGUGAGGUAACGGCCCACCAAGGCGACGAUCAGUAGCCGGACUGAGAGGGUGAUCGGCCACAGUGGAACUGAGACACGGUCCAAACUCCUGCGGGAGGCAGCAGUGGGGAAUAUUGCACAAUGGGGGAAACCCUGAUGCAGCGACGCCGCGUGAGCGAAGAAGGCCUUCGGGUCGUAAAGCUCUUUUAUGAGGGAAGAUAAUGACGGUACCUCAAGAAAAAGCCCCGGCUAACUACGUG
rnacentral:rRNA from 1 species